CAGAAGAUAGUUUAAUAGAGAAUAUUAGCUUUGGGAGCUAAAGGUAAAGGUUUAAGUCCUUUUUUUCUGA
rnacentral:tRNA from 1 species